rnacentral:rRNA from 1 species
AUUGAACGCUGGCGGCAGGCCUAACACAUGCAAGUCGAGCGGAUGAAGGGAGCUUGCUCCUGGAUUCAGCGGCGGACGGGUGAGUAAUGCCUAGGAAUCUGCCUGGUAGUGGGGGAUAACGUCCGGAAACGGGCGCUAAUACCGCAUACGUCCUGAGGGAGAAAGUGGGGGAUCUUCGGACCUCACGCUAUCAGAUGAGCCUAGGUCGGAUUAGCUAGUUGGUGGGGUAAAGGCCUACCAAGGCGACGAUCCGUAACUGGUCUGAGAGGAUGAUCAGUCACAACGGAACUUAAACACGGGUCCGAAUCCCACCGGAGGCCGGAGUUGGGAAUUUUUGGCCAUUGGCGAAAGCCUGAUCCAGCCAUGCCGCGUGUGUGAAGAAGGUCUUCGGAUUGUAAAGCACUUUAAGUUGGGAGGAAGGGCAGUAAGUUAAUACCUUGCUGUUUUGACGUUACCAACAGAAUAAGCACCGGCUAACUUCGUG